GCCGCCGUAGUAUAGCCCGGUCAAGUAUGCGGGCCUUUCGAGCCCGUGACCCGGGUUCAAAUCCCGGCGGCGGCACCA
rnacentral:tRNA from 1 species